CCUCCACGAGGUUUGCACACCUCAUUUAUCCAAAGCCCAGCUCGCCUGACCCAUAAGUCCAGUCUCUAUACUGGCCCACUAAGCCCAGUUUCACCUGGCCCCCUAAGCCCAGUUUCACCUGGCCCCCUAAGCCCAGUUUACACACUGGCCCAGAAGCCCAAUUUCAUACUGGCCCAUAAGCCCAGUUUCAUCUGGCCCAUAAGCCCAAUUUUCAUAUUGGCCCCUAAAAGCCCAGUUUCCAUACUGGCCCCCAAGCCCAGUUUCACCUGGCCCAUAAGCCCAGUUUCACCUAGCCCCUAAGCCCAGUUUCCACACUGGCCCAUAAGCCCAGCUCGUCUGGCCCCUAAGCCCAGUUUCACCUGGCCCAUAAGCCCAGUUUCCACACUGGCCCUAAAGCUCAGUUUCCAUACUGGCCCCUAG
rnacentral:lncRNA from 1 species